rnacentral:rRNA from 1 species
AAAUCAUCAUGCCCCUUAUGACCUGGGCUACACACGUGCUACAAUGGAUGGUACAACGAGUUGCGAGACCGCGAGGUUUAGCUAAUCUCUUAAAACCAUUCUCAGUUCGGAUUGUAGGCUGCAACUCGCCUACAUGAAGCCGGAAUCGCUAGUAAUCGCGGAUCAGCAUGCCGCGGUGAAUACGUUCCCGGGCCUUGUACACACCGCCCGUCACACCACGAGAGUUGUAACACCCAAAGCCGGCGA